GAAUGCUGACAUAAGUAACGAUAAAGCGGGUGAAAAGCCCGCUCGCCGGAAGACCAAGGGUUCCUGUCCAACGUUAAUCGGGGCAGGGUGAGUCGACCCCUAAGGCGAGGCCGAAAGGCGUAGUCGAUGGGAAACAGGUUAAUAUUCCUGUACUUGGUGUUACUGCGAAGGGGGGACGGAGAAGGCUAUGUUGGCCGGGCGACGGUUGUCCCGGUUUAAGCGUGUAGGCUGGUUUUCCAGGCAAAUCCGGAAAACCAAGGCUGAGGCGUGAUGACGAGGCACUACGGUGCUGAAGCGACAAAUGCCCUGCUUCCAGGAAAAGCCUCUAAGCAUCAGGUAACAUCAAAUCGUACCCCAAACCGACACAGGUGGUCAGGUAGAGAAUACCAAGGCGCUUGAGAGAACUCGGGUGAAGGAACUAGGCAAAAUGGUGCCGUAACUUCGGGAGAAGGCACGCUGAUAUGUAGGUGA
rnacentral:rRNA from 1 species